UACGUAGGUGGCGAGCGUUGUCCGGAUUUACUGGGCGUAAAGAGCGCGCAGGCGGUCGUACAAGUCGCGUGUGAAAGCCCCCGGCUCAACUGGGGAGGGUCACGCGAUACUGUUCGACUCGAAGGCAGGAGAGGGUAGUGGAAUUCUCGGUGUAGCGGUGAAAUGCGUAGAUAUCGAGAGGAACACCUGCGGCGAAGGCGGGUCUCUGGACAGUUCCUGACGCUGAGGCACGAAGGCCAGGGGAGCAAACGGG
rnacentral:rRNA from 1 species